AGCGAACGCUGGCGGUAGGCCUAACACAUGCAAGUCGAACGGCAGCAUAGUAAUAGCUUGCUGUUACGUGUGGCGAGUGGCGGACGGUUGAUGUAGACAUCGGAAUCUACUUUUUCGUUUGUGCUAACGUAGGGAAACUUACGCGGAUACCGCAUACGACCUACUUGUGAAAGCAGGGGAUCUUCUGACCUGGUGCUGUUGAAUGAGCCGAGGUCGGAGUAGCUAGUUGGCGGGGUAAAGGCCCAACAAGGCGACGAUCCGAAGCUGGUCUGGGAGCAUGAAUAGCCAGACUGGAACGGAGACACGCUACAGACUCCUAGGGGAGGCCACAGUCGGGAAUAUUGGACAAUGGGCGAAAGCCUGAUCCAGCCCUACCGCGUGGGUGCAGACGGCCCUAGGCUUGUAAAGCCCUUUUGUUGGGAAAGAAAAGCAGCUGGUUAAUCCCCCGCUGUUCUGACGGUACCCAAAGAAUAAGCCCCGGCUAACUUCGUG
rnacentral:rRNA from 1 species